AAUUUGUAUAGUAUGUAAACGAUACAGAAUGAUGAACUCGUCAUGGUCCCAUACUACAUGGGACAGAGAGUGAGUAAAAUAAAAAUAAAGAAUGUCCCACCCGAAAUUCAACCAAAGUGGAUCACAUCGGCGAUAUGUUUUCAAUUUGAAAUCGAUAAACAUAUUGGAAAUCGCCGUUUUUUCACAAUGAAAAUUGGACUGGGAAAUCGAUAGAAAUAAC